rnacentral:rRNA from 1 species
GAUGAACGCUGGCGGCGUGCCUAAUACAUGCAAGUCGAGCGAACAGACGAGGAGCUUGCUCCUCUGACGUUAGCGGCGGACGGGUGAGUAACACGUGGAUAACCUACCUAUAAUACUGGGAUAACUUCGGGAAACCGGAGCUAAUACCGGAUAAUAUAUUGAACCGCAUGGUUCAAUAGUGAAAGACGGUUUUCGUGUCUCUUAUAGCUGGAUCCGCGCCGCAUUAGCUAGUUGGUAAGGUAACGGCCUACCAAGGCAACGAUGCGUAGCCGACCUGAGAGGGUGAUCAGCCACACUGGAACUGAGACACGGUCCAGACUCCUACGGGAGGCAGCAGUAGGGAAUCUUCCGCAAUGGGCGAAAGCCUGACGGAGCAACGCCGCGUGAGUGAUGAAGGUCUUCGGAUCGUAAAACUCUGUUAUUAGGGAAGAACAAAUGUGUAAGUAAAUAUGCACGUCUUGACGGUACCUAAUCAGAAAGCCACGGCUAACUACGUG